GGGAGCUCCGUGCAUGGUGGGGGGGUGUGGGAGGAAAAGGCUGGAUGGGGAGCUCCCGGCAUAGGGCAGAGAAAGGGGAAUGUUCUGUGCAUGUGGGGUGGAGAGGGCUCAAUGAGGACUUGGGGAGGUCUGUGCCACCCUCGGUUUUGGAACUCAAGCUGGACCAUUACCCCACCCUGACUGCCAGAGCCCUGAUUUGUUAGCUUUCUACCCACCUCCCUUUUCCCUUCCUGGUUAAGCAUCUGGGGUGAAGUGGAUAUAUUUAUGGGCAGUCCUUUGUCUAUGUUUGUUGUAAUUUUUAAUGAAUGGGAUAGGCACCUGGAGCACUACAUGGGUGAAUACAGAUGUACUUUGAAAAUAAAAUAACUGGUGCUCUGUGAAUGAAGGACAAGCAUACACUAAUAGCAAAUGGAUGGGGGAUUAACUCAACUCACUGUGACUUUCCGGACUUAUCAAUGUCUGAUGUGUUGUAUCAACAUAUAAUAGAGACAUGACAUCAUCUUCUCCCUUUACAAUAGAACAGCUUGUCAUGCAAAUGAAAUAGCUCAGUAGUUCUCAAACUUUUGUACUUGUGACCCCUUUCACAUAGCAAGCCUCUGAGUGCGACCUCCUUUAUAAAUUAAAAACACUUUUUUUUAUAUUUAACACCACUAUAAAUGCUGGAUGCAAAGUGGGGUUUGGGGUGAAGGCUGACAGCUUGUGACACCCCCCCAUGUAAUAACAGUUUGAGAACCCCUGAAAUAGCUGUAAUUUCUUGGGGAGAAAGGUAGAUUUAGCUGUGUGUGAUUGGGAGAGGGGGGCAGAGAAUUACGUUGUUUGAUAGUGUAAUUUUAAUGCAAUACAUGAAGAAUAACUUUGGUUACCAAGGGAUGUUUGUUUGUUUACAAAACCGGGGUGGUUUAUCUGUCGUGCUAUCCUCAAUUGGUUGUUUUAUAACUCUGUCUUUAGUUAUCCUUUCAGCUGAUUUACCUGAUUCUGUAAUUCCCAGGAUCAGCACGAAGGCCUUUUUUAAUACUUGUAUGAUGCUGACUUUCUUCCCGCUGUUUGUGGGUAGGUCUGCACUUAAAAUGCACUUUAGAGAAGAUGCUGCUAUGCCAACAACGAGAGAGCUCCCAUCGGUGUAGUUAAUCCACCUCCGCAGAAGAUGGUAGCUAUGCCGACAGAAGAAGCAGACCCAUCAACAUAACGCUGUCCAUACUGGGGGUUAAGUCGCAAGUUUCCCAUUGGUGCAAGAGCCUAUGACUUGGUAGGUCCUACCAUCAAGAGGAGCCUAUGACUCACUUUCAUUCAGACCACACCACACGAUCCAUUGUCUACAGCCAAGCUCUACGGGUACAA